CAGUCGAACGGACAGGUAAUGAAACCUAGUGACUUAUCUGUUAGUGGCGGCCUGGUGAGUAACGCGUGGGUAACCUGCCGUAUACAGGGGGAUAACACUUAGAAAUAGGUGCUAAAACCGCAUAAGCGCACAGGAUCGCAUGGUCCGGUGUGAAAAACUCCGGUGGUAUACGAUGGACCCGCGUCUGAUUAGCUUGUUGGCGGGGUAGAGGCCCACCAAGGCGACGAUCAGUAGCCGGCCUGAGAGGGUGAACGGCCACAUUGGGACUGAGACACGGCCCAAACUCCUACGGGAGGCAGCAGUGGGGAAUAUUGCACAAUGGGGGAAACCCUGAUGCAGCGACGCCGCGUGAGUGAAGAAGUAUUUCGGUAUGUAAAGCUCUAUCAGCAGGAAAGAAGGAAAUGACGGUACCUGAGUAAGAAGCCCCGGCUAACUACGUGCCAGCAGCCGCGGUAAUACGUAGGGGGCAAGCGUUAUCCGGAAUCACUGGGUGUAAAGGGAGCGUAGACGGCUGAGCAAGCCUGAAGUGAAAGGCGGGGGCCCAACCCCUGGACUGCUUUGGGAACUGUACGGCUGGAGUGCAGGAGAGGUAAGUGGAAUUCCUAGUGUAGCGGUGAAAUGCGUAGAUAUUAGGAGGAACACCAGUGGCGAAGGCGGCUUACUGGACUGUAACUGACGUUGAGGCUCGAAAGCGUGGGGAGCAAACAGGAUUAGAUACCCUGGUAGUCCACGCCGUAAACGAUGAUUACUAGGUGUCGGGGGGCAGAGGCCCUUCGGUGCCGCAGCAAACGCAAUAAGUAAUCCACCUGGGGAGUACGUCCGCAAGGAUGAAACUCAAAGGAAUUGACGGGGAC
rnacentral:rRNA from 1 species